GACGAACCGAGCGAACGUUGUUCGGAAUCACUGGGCUUAAAGGGCGCGUAGGCGGGUGCUCAAGUCCGGGGUGAAAUCCCACAGCUCAACUGUGGAACUGCCUCGGAUACUGGGCGUCUCGAGGGUGAUAGGGGUAUGCGGAACUAUCGGUGGAGCGGUGAAAUGCGUUGAUAUCGAUAGGAACUCCGGUGGCGAAGGCGGCAUACUGGACCGAUACUGACGCUGAGGAGCGAAAGCCAGGGGAGCAAACGGG
rnacentral:rRNA from 1 species